GGUCAAGAGCUAUGAUCAAGAGUCAACCCAGUGAGUCAACCUCGUGCUCACAGAAUAAGAAGGUACUUAGGUACAGCAGAAGCGUCACUCAAGCAAGUAUUUGUCCGCGUUUUUACAAGCGAUUCGUCAUCAAUCACGCCAUACAAGAGGAAAGAGCCUGGGAACGAGGUCAUGGGCGUACCGGAAGGAAAAAAUUAGGGGGGCGGAAAGAAAAUUGCCCGACUUUUCGUAAAAUUGCCCGACUUUUCGUGAUUUUGCCCGACUAGUACCAAAAAAUUUUUCCCGGAAAGAUUAUUUUGGCGACCUCCACCCCCUUCCCACCCCCCGUCG